rnacentral:rRNA from 1 species
UACGUAGGGUGCAAGCGUUAAUCGGAAUUACUGGGCGUAAAGCGUGCGCAGGCGGUUUUGUAAGACUGUCGUGAAAUCCCCGGGCUUAACCUGGGAAUGGCGAUGGUGACUGCAAGGCUAGAGUUUGGCAGAGGGGGGUAGAAUUCCACGUGUAGCAGUGAAAUGCGUAGAUAUGCGGAGGAACACCGAUGGCGAAGGCAGUCCCCUGGGCCUGUACUGACGCUCAUGCACGAAAGCGUGGGGAGCAAACAGG